AAGGUGGGCGGGGGUGCCUAAUAAUGCAAUUGGAGCGAGAUAGAGAUUAAGAGCUUGCUCUUAUUCCGAAGUUAGCGGCGGACGGGUGAGUAACACGUGGGUAACCUGCCCAUAAGACUGGGAUAACUCCGGGAAACCGGGGCUAAUACCGGAUAACAUUUUGAACUGCAUGGUUCGAAAUUGAAAGGCGGCUUCGGCUGUCACUUAUGGAUGGACCCGCGUCGCAUUAGCUAGUUGGUGAGGUAACGGCUCACCAAGGCAACGAUGCGUAGCCGACCUGAGAGGGUGAUCGGCCACACUGGGACUGAGACACGGCCCAGACUCCUACGGGAGGCAGCAGUAGGGAAUCUUCCGCAAUGGACGAAAGUCUGACGGAGCAACGCCGCGUGAGUGAUGAAGGCUUUCGGGUCGUAAAACUCUGUUGUUAGGGAAGAACAAGUGCUAGUUGAAUAAGCUGGCACCUUGACGGUACCUAACCAGAAAGCCACGGCUAACUACGUGCCACAGCCGCGGUAAUACGUAGGUGGCAAGCGUUAUCCGGAAUUAUUGGGCGUAAAGCGCGCGCAGGUGGUUUCUUAAGUCUAAGGGAACCCCCGGCUCACCGAAG
rnacentral:rRNA from 1 species